UGUACAUUCAGUAAAACAAGUCCUGUUCUGUAGACAUGGUCCAGUUAUUUCUUCAUGUUGGACCAGUCCAAUUUGACUGUCAGUUGAAAUAAACCUUUUGUUGUAAAAAAACUUGUUUAAUUUGUUAUGAAUCUAUUUUG